UGNAAGUCGAGCGAACAGAGAAGGAGCUUGCUCCUUCGACGUUAGCGGCGGACGGGUGAGUAACACGUGGGCAACCUACCAUAUAGUUUGGGAUAACUCCGGGAAACCGGGGCUAAUACCGAAUAAUCUGUUUCACCUCAUGGUGAAACACUGAAAGACGGUUUCGGCUGUCGCUAUAGGAUGGGCCCGCGGCGCAUUAGCUAGUUGGUGAGGUAACGGCUCACCAAGGCGACGAUGCGUAGCCGACCUGAGAGGGUGAUCGGCCACACUGGGACUGAGACACGGCCCAGACUCCUACGGGAGGCAGCAGUAGGGAAUCUUCCACAAUGGGCGAAAGCCUGAUGGAGCAACGCCGCGUGAGUGAAGAAGGAUUUCGGUUCGUAAAACUCUGUUGUAAGGGAAGAACAAGUACAGUAGUAACUGGCUGUACCUUGACGGUACCUUAUUAGAAAGCCACGGCUAACUACGUGCCAGCAGCCGCGGUAAUACGUAGGUGGCAAGCGUUGUCCGGAAUUAUUGGGCGUAAGGCGCGCGCAGGUGGUUUCUUAAGUCUGAUGUGAAAGCCCACGGCUCAACCGUGGAGGGUCAUUGGAAACUGGGAGACUUGAGUGCAGAAGAGGAUAGUGGAAUUCCAAGUGUAGCGGUGAAAUGCGUAGAGAUUUGGAGGAACACCAGUGGCGAANGCGACUAUCUGGUCUGUAACUGACACUGAGGCGCGAAAGCGUGGGGAGCAAACAGGAUUANAUACCCUGGUAGUCCACGCCGUAAACGAUGAGUGCUAAGUGUUNNGGGUUUCCGCCCCUUANNGCUGCAGCUAACGCAUUAAGCACUCCGCCUGGGGNANUANNGUCGCAAGANUGAAACUCAAA
rnacentral:rRNA from 1 species